GCUCUCCUGAUGACUUACAUUAAAAUAAAGAAAUAUAGCUUAAGUUAUUCCUUUAAUGGCUUGUAACAUAAUGUGACGUAUCAGUCUAUUAUAUUUAAAGAUCGUUAACAUUCCGUUACCACUUUGUAAUUUGAUCCGCGGGUACUGGUAUAACAAUUGUUGGGUUAGAUAUUUGUUUACAUUUCAUAUUUCGUUUUAUAUAAAGUAUGAUUGUAUACGGUUAAGAAUUUCAUUAUGAUUGGACAAUAGAAGAUAGAAUAAGAAAUGAUAAUAAGUUCGGAAUGUUGGGUUGGGCACUGUUGUAGGGCAUUGACCGAGGUGACCUUGACCCGAUGACUCAUCGGAAGGUGCGGCCGCCCCUAUUGGGUUGGGCUCUGACGUCAUGGAAAUUUCAGAUUGACUCACCUCAUUACAGUCUGGAAUGUUGGGUUGGCACAUGACGUCAUGGGAAAUUCUGAUUGACUCACCUAGUCCCUAUUGUUUUGGGAAUGCUGGGUGCGGCAGUGAGGUCAUGGUAAUUUCCUAUUGACUCACCUACUCUCUUUUGUUCUUUGGAAUGUUGGGUGCGGCUCCCCAUUGUUCUAGGGCAUUGACCUGUCCGCUAUCAUGUUGCGCGAUUGUGAGGUCAUGGGGUUUUCACUCGUUAGCCCCGCCCCCCACGCGAUGACGUGAUAGCCACGUGGUAUGGCUCCAGCUCCAGGCAAAUUCCCCUACCGAUUGUUAUAUACUACUGUUAAUACAUAAUCCCUGUCCCAAAACGUCUUAUAAUUGUGAUCAAGAGUGGAAAAUUGAAACUGAUACGUCCUGCUACUGUUCUUAUAGAUCAAUUAAGUUUUCUAUCAUAUCGAGAUUGGUUUUGCAUGUUUCAUUUACUAGGAACAUUAUAGCCUCAUUAAAUGUUUUUGGUAGUGUGUGUUAAAAGUCUAUUUAGAACUUAAUUUAAGAUAUCCACUUAGCGGAAGAACUUGGAGACAAUAUAAAACUUGAUGCGUGUGGGUGUGCAGGGAAAAACAGCUUAUCAUUAUGUAUUUAACUGCUCGCCUAUUGGAGACAGCAUGCAGUGAGGCUAACCACACAGCUACUGAUCAUAUAAUUUGAUCCAGUGAUACCACUGGAAGGAACCCAUUCAGUUUUAAACAGUUAGUCCUAUAACUGUUAAGCUCACAUUCACGCACGGAAGUACCGCUUAAAGAUUUUUUGUUUUAUGUUUGUUCAUUUUUAACUAUUAGAUGUUGUCAUCGGAAACGUCUUUUAAUAUUUAACAUUAAAAGCAUUUGAAAACACCUGGUAUACAAUAUUGAUAUAUACAUUGUAUAUCGGGUACAUCUGGAGUUAUUUUAGAAUCCGAACAGAUACCUUUACUCUCAAGUUGGUGUUUCUGCAAUUAAACUGCAAUAAACCUUAAAAAUUUUAAUACGACAUGUUUUGAUUUUGACAUAGAGUAUGCACUUCCAUUUUUCGAAAUGAACACGGUAAAACGCUCUGUAACAAGUUGUAUCAGAAGAGAAAAAGAAAGAAAAAAGAAACAACCAGCUGCUGCUUUGAUGUUCUCCCUCAAAUAACUUUUAACUAAUUGACAAGAAGAAGUUUUCACUCGAUGGGAACCUUAAUUACCUUACAAUACUGAUGGUUCCGAGUACAUAGCUGUUCAUAAGGGUAAUGUAGGUGUUACAACACUAACUUUCACCAGGCUGAAUGGUUUAGAAAAAAAUGAGCCCUUUUACUUGGCUUAAUUAUACUUACAAAUUGUUUGCAGUAUUUAUUAACAUAACCGUUUAGCCAGCGAACCAGUGUACUAAAAUCAUAACGGUCAACAAAAUAUUUAAAUAUUUCAAAGCUCAUUUCUUACAUACAUGUAUAAUCCUUUCAGUCAAUCAGUGGGUAAUACAAAAUAAUCUAGGCUUUCUGUUACUUAACGGUUAAUAUAUGCGUUCAAAUAAACAAUUUCCAAUGCAAUUUUUGAAAUACACACACAUAUAUAUGCAGUAAAUACUUGUUUGUUUUACAUUAUGCAAAUGCUCAGUUAAUAAUGUCGGUUUAUUUUAGUGUAUACCACGGGUCUCAAAAGUAUCAAAUUACAAUUUCACUUAUGCUGCAAAAUAUUAUAUAUGUAUCAUUCUUUUACAUUUACUUAAAAUUGUAUGUUCAAUGCAAGGUAAUACUUUCUUACCAUAUUAGAGACUGUUUGCAGACAGUUAACAUACGUCGCGCUGUAGCAUGCAGUUACAUACAGAAUCAACACAUCCGACAUGACAAACUGACAUGAUCAAGGACUUACUUAAUAUUAUGUUCCCAUACUUACUUUAUCAGAAUUCUUACCAACAGAAUGACGAUUACCAAGUAUAAUAUUAUGUAUUUUCGCUUACCGCUUAACACAGUCGCAAAUAUGAAUCCAGUCGUAGCUAAUCUAGAAUUGUCCUUUGACUAGAAAUAUUCAGUCAAGCAGAACUUGAUUGUAUAUGUUUAAGGUACGUUUAGGGGACGGAAUAUGUUUUCUCUUGUGUAAAAAAAAAGUCACGCGAAUCAGUUUUCGGCGAAUGUCGCACUAAAAACGAAUUUGUGACCUGUACGGACCAAGCCACGUGACUUAAGUUUGCAAAACAGGCUACUUCAUAACGCAUUAUGGAUAUUUUAUCAAAAUGAAAGAUUUUUUCAACAUUCUGCCUAAUUCGAAGAAGGUGUCUAUUUUUUUUCACUCUGCUGAUUGUGCAACGCUAAGUGAAAUGUCAGACAAAGCGUUUAUCCUUAAUGGCGCUGUUUAUCCUUAAUGGCGCUGUUUACAAGUUUUAAAGCUAUAUUUCGCUCAGUAUAUUCAGCAAGAAUAUUGAUAUAUCUAAAAAUGAUAUUAAGUAAGUUUAAUAAAUACAAGUAUUAUAAAAACCUGUUCAAAUACCAACAUAUAUCAAUUUACAGAAAGAGCUGAAUACGGUCUGCGUAUCACAUGAAUAAGGUUGUGAUCAGCCGAUCGAUUAAAGUCUUCUAGGUAGAGAAGUGUCUUCCAGACCACAGCUGUAAUUAUUCGUCGUAGAAUAAACGAAACAAAAUUGCACACCUACGACACCUUUGUGAAAAUUGCUUUUUGUAAAAUGUUAGAUAUAUGAUAGAAUAACACAACUGAUAUGAAAACCUCAUAAACUUCUUGCCUUAUUACAAUUGGCCGACCAUCUUUUUUCGGCGAACGCCGUCUAAAUUCGUUUUCGUUACCUAUGCCACGUGACUUCAGUUUGCAAAUCAAACUACUUGAUAACGCAUUAUAGAUAAUUUAUCAAAAUGGAAGAUUUAUGCAACACUCUGCCUGAUUGGACGAGAGUGUCAAUUUCUUUCACUCUGUUGAUUGUGCUACGCUGAGUGAAAUGUAGACAAAGCGUUUAUCCUAAACGACGCUGUUCACAGUUUUAAAGCUAACUUUGGCUCAGUAUAUUUAGCAAAAAUAUUGAUAUAUCUCAAAAUGAUAAGUAAGUUUAAUAAAUAUGAUAAAAACCUGUUCAAAUACCAACAUAAAUUAAAGAAAGAGCUGAAUACGGUCUGCGUAUCACAUGAAUAAGGGUGUGAUAAGAGUCUUUUAUGUAGAUAAGUGCUUUUUAAAAGAGUUUUCUUGUUACAAUUUUCGUCUGUAUUUGAAAAGGUUUCUUGCUUUUUUUGACUUAUUCAGAUUGCAUAUUAAAAUGAGUACUUGUUUGCUUUGAUAUAUUUGUUAUAAAUUAUUUAACUGAUUUAUUAUAUAUGAAUAUUUUUCUUUAGUAUGGUAUGCAGAUAUUGAACUCAGUUGAAAUCUGUUUUAUUAUAUAUAUGCUAUAUAAUGACUGAAUCUCAUUACACUGAAAUGAAGGUACGUUGCAUACAGAUUAUCUAUGUGAUAUGACUACGGUCAAAUUUUGCUUAUGAAACAGAAAUAUUAAAAUAAUUACAACUGUAUGUUUUGCUUGACCUUCACCUUUUUAUAGGUGUGACGUCAUUGUCCAAAGAUUCCUGAAUAGCGAAUAUGCAUUUGUUAAAGCGGGAUCAGUUGGCCUAUUUUAAAAAUAAAUAAAAAUAAUAAAUAAAAAAAAAUCCUUUAAUUGAUUUUUUUCUCAUGUAUUCUAAUCAAACUUGAUUUGUAGCAUCUUUAUUAGGCCUGCAGCCAACUUUGUUCAGCUGGGACAUUUAACCCCUUUUAGGGGCUGCUAGAGCUAAAACUAGAAAUGCCUUUAUGCAGUGUCUCAUGAACAGCUUGGUGGAUCUUUGUCAUACUUGGUCUGGAGCAUCAUUAUAAGGUCCUCUUCCAAAUUUAUUUAUAUAGGAACUUUGGCCCUAUUAGGGACCACUAUAGCUAAAAGUAGAUAUGCCUUUCUUCGCAUUAACCACUAAAAUGUAAUGGAUUUUUAUCAAACUCGAUGUGUAACAAUAUCGUAAGGUCUCCUGGUUUUUUGUUACAAAUGGGGAUAGGGACCAAUUUAGCUAAAAAUAUAAACACGUUUAAUGACCUCUUCUCAUGAACCGCUUCAUGAAUCUUCAUCAAACUACUGCUGGAAUUAUUCGCCUAAGGAUAAACGAAACAAAAUUGUAACCCUACGAAACCUUUGCGAAAAAUUAAAAGAGAACCAUUUAAAUUGUUAAAGUGCGGUGUUUAGUUUUGCAAUUCGAAAAAUGUUAGAUGAAAGAUGAAUGUUAGAUGAAAAAUUCAUAAACUUCUUUCCUUAUUACAAUUCGCCGACCAUCAUUUUUAAAGAUAUUUCUUGUUUAAUCUAUUUCUUGUUUUAAUGUACGUUCAUUUUUUGCAGAAACCAGAAACGCUUGUUUGAUGUGUAUCAAUAUCGUCUGCUAGAGUGCUAAUGAACGGAAUGUGGUGAUCUAUUAAGCACUGGUACUCUUCCAACACUAAAUGCAGUUACCAUUAAAACAACUUUGUCUAAUUGAAAACUGCACACUCCACGUCCAAAACCAGACUUUAUGAUUACCCACAUCAUGCAAGGAAAAUAUCAAUACAGAAAUCCGUUGUAUUUAACUCGAGGGGAUUUUGCCAUUUGUGGAUUGAACGAGGUCUUGCGAGCCAAAUACAUCACUGUAGAUCAAGGGUCAAGGAUUCUUCAUGUGAGGCAGCCAUCUAAGUAAGAUCGGCAAUUCUACCAAGGCGACCACCCAUGUCUGAAGCAAAGCUUGGAGGGGCCCAUAGGGUAUUCUUAUACCAUCAAAGCUGGUAAAUGAAUCUAUAAGAUGACCCUUUUGAAAUAUAGAAUGCAACAAAGCAAAUUAAUAGCGGACUCAGUUUGAGUGAAGAAUAUGAAAUACCUCCGAUCAUAUUUUGCAUUUUGUCAAAUCGUUAAGACUGUUUUUUUUUUAUUUGCAAUUUUAGAAGAAAAGAAUGCAAGUGAACACUUUCAUGACAUUUUCCUGCUUCUUACGUGUUCAGAGUGAGAUAGGUUAUCGACAAGAACAGAAAAGUGUAACUUUGGAACACUUAUCUGAUUUGCAUAAAAUCAUAAUAAUUGUAUAUUUACCUUUCCAUGUGGUGU